AUGACGACCAAAUUUAGCCGAUUAUCCAACAUGGCUGCCGCGUGAGACUGCCUACCUUAAGCUUGCAUACUAUCGAGGUUAAAGAGAUUGGUUAAAGAGUUUAUGUUUAUAUCAAAUGAUACCAUUUUGGGAAGAAAAAAAACUACCGGGAAACAUAAAA
rnacentral:lncRNA from 1 species